UACGUAGGGUCCGAGCGUUGUCCGGAGUACUGGGCGUAAAGCGCGCGCAGGCGGCGGUGUUGGCCCGGCGUGAAAGCCCCCGGCUCAACCGGGGAGAGUCGUCGGGGACCGCACCGCUUGAGGGCGGUAGGGGCUGGUGGAAUGCCUGGUGUAGUGGUGAAAUGCGUAGAGAUCAGGCAGAACACCUGGGGCGAAGGCGGCCAGCUGGGCCGUCCCUGACGCUGAGGCGCGAAGGCGUGGGGAGCGAACGGG
rnacentral:rRNA from 1 species